GGAGAUGCCCUUCUCUGGAGUUUCAUAGCAAGCCCAGCAUAUGGUGAGCUGGGAUACAGAAGAGUCACGGGAGGACACUUUCCACUGCUACCUCAGCUUCCUUCUCUCUUUCACUUCUUCUUCCCCUAGACCGUUUGCUAGUCACUUCACACUUCAAGUAUGCAGCUUCACCUACUGUGUGCAGUGCAGAUGCACUACAGUACAAAAGGUAUAUAAAACUACUAGAGAGUGUACAAAGGAAGGCUACAAGGCAGGUGAAGGGUCUGGAGGCCAAGAUGUAUGAGGAGCAGAUGAGGUCCCUUGGUUUCUUCAGCCUAGAAAAGAAAGAGGAGAAAGAUUGCAGAUUAGCCCUGACUAGGCAACCACUUUCAUUAUUCUGAGCCGGGUCAAGAGAAGAGACUUUCAAAUGCUGAUUCUCUGUGCUUCCUCCUGAUAAGAAAGAAGAGUUUGUUAGAUCUGGAAACCGAGAGAGGAGAAGAGAGGAGCUGGAGCGCUUAAGCUUUUCAACCUUGUGUUUGGAAAAAUAUGGGACUGGAUGAACACUGAAAAGGUCAAAGAAGAAGCAGAUGAUGUUUUGUUGGAUAGUUGUGUACAGGAUCUAUUGUUUGAAAUAAAAAUCAUGAUUUCAUUUUCAUUCUCAACUGAUGGGGGGAAAAAAUGAAGUUAUUAGACUUUUCCAGAGCUAUUGAUGAUUUGUUCAUGUUUAAAGUACAUUAUUUUACAAAGGGACGUAGUAUUCAUUAUUUACAACUAUUUUUAAUGUUGUUAACCAGCUUUUGGGAUUUUGAAGUUUUUUACAUUUUCACAUUCAGAAAAAUAAAUAAAUGAAGAUCUGA